GUUGUGCCUCUCACCCUGGGUUAUGAGUGCCAUCCACUUUGCCAUCAUCUGGAGGUCUGUACUAAAAUCCACGGCGAUGGACUGGGCGUCAUGCAGAGUUUUAUGGUCAUCAGGUCUCAGCUGUAAGGAAUGAAUUCUGCUGGCCCCCAGCUUCCAGAUUGUCAGGGAGCUUAUCCUGAUAGCAAACCAGUCUGAUUCUUCGUCCUUCCACCCAGUGAUCUUGGUAAUCCCCUCUGGAGCCAAGCCAAACAGGCCUGAUCUCUCCUGGACAGGAUAGCUCUUCAGACAGGAAGGCAGGGGACGUGUCCCCUCCUCCACCCCCGAGUCUUCUGUAAGCUAAAUACCCCCCAUUCCUCAUGCGGCUUGAACUGAGACUGUUCCAGGAACAGGUAACCACUCUUCGAUUCCUGCCUUACUCCUGGGCACUUGAGUGCCAAGAGAUCCUCCUCAGCGUCUUAUGGGUGGAAAAGACAAUUCUCCACUCUCUCCACAGGAGCAGCCGGAGGCUUAGUACCAGGUGUUGGUGGAAUCCCAGGCAUUGGAAGCGUUGCAGGUGUUCCAGGUGUCGGUGGUGUCCCAGGAGCAGAAAGCCCAGCUGCAGCGGCCAAAGCAGCAGCUAAAGCAGCCAAGUAUGGGGCCAGGGCUGUCCCUGGAGUUGGAGUUCCUGGCUUUGGUGUGGGCCCUGGAGUUGGAGUUCCUGGCUUUGGGGUUGGCGCUGGAGCUGUUCCUGGUGCGGGGGUCGUUCCCGGAGGUAUCCCCGGGACAGCUCUCUCCCCUGCUGCUGCCGCCGCUGCCGCCAAAGCAGCUAAGUAUGGAGCUGGUGGCCUUGGCGGUCUGGGAGGAGGCUUGGUACCUGGUGUGGCUGGCGUCCCAGGAGCAGGAAUUGGAGGUCUAGGAGGUGUUCCAGGAGCAGUUUCCCCAGCUGCAGCCGCAGCGGCCAAGGCUGCUGCCAAAGCUGCCCAGUAUGGCCUUGGAGGAGUUGGAGGUCUGGCAGGCAUCGGAGGGGUCCCAGGCAUUGGAGGCAUCGCAGGGGUCCCUGGAGUGGGCGGAGUAGGAGGUCCAGCUGCAGCCGCUAAAGCCGCUGCCAAAGCAGCUAAGUACGGUGCUGCUGGUGGGGUUGGCCUCGUGCCAGGAAUUGGAGGUUUGCCAGGGACCCGAGUGCUGCCAGGGGCAGGUGUCCCAUCAUUUGGCUAUGGACUUUCACCUAUUUUCCCAGGUGGCGGAGCUGGUGGACUGGGAUUUGGUGGAAAACCUUCCAAACAGUUUGGUGGUGCCCUUGGAGCUCUGGGAUAUCGAGGUGGGGCUUGUUUGGGGAAAUUGUGUGGCCGGAAGAGAAAGUAAAUCUUCCCAGGACACCCGACCCGAGACCUCAUGAACUUUGGUGCUACUGCCUAGUCUAGAAUGUAUACCUUGAGUGACUCCCUCUCCCCCUCCCCUCCCCCCUCUUCCCCACCCUUCUCCCAGGGUCAGAUCCUUCUCACUGGAGUGUUCCUACAGCCACCCACCCAUCCGGUGGGGGUAGGGGAUGGGGUGGAGGCACGGGACCACGGGGCAAGCAAACACAAGAACCAGGGGUCAGCUUGGAAUUCUGUCCCCUUCCCUAAAGGAGCUUGGGUAAGGGGAGGGAUCAGAUGCCCUCCUCAUCACCACCACCACCCCAUUCCCACCCAGGAGCUCUCCCCUCUGCGUUCAUGAUCUUGAGGGAAAUAUGGUGCUACUUGUUGGUGCUUAUAACUUUCUUGGGGGUGAGGGAGGAGGGAAGAGGGGGUCCCCUGGAUAAGCCCCUCACCUGGGGGCUCCUCUAAACACAGCCCUGGAGAUUUUCAAGACAUCCAACCCUACCCCCACCAGGAAAGGUCAGCCCAGGACCCACAGUCAUGCUCUCCCACUGGGAUGAGCAGCCUUUGGGGUUGGGCCUGCUUGCCCUACCUUGUACCCGAGCACUUUAAAUCAGCCUCAGUCCUGGUUGCGAGCCAUCCAGAUCUGGCCACCUCUCCCCACCACGCCAGAGGGCUGUCCCUUCAGUCUCUCCCUUGCUGCUCCUCACAUCCAUCCAUGGAGCCAAUAUACCUGAAGACUGGGAACAGCCAUGCCCCUGAUCUUUUUGGAAUUUAUCUUUCCAUCCAUCCGUCCACCCCUCACCCAAAAAAAGUUUACCACCCAGUCUAGCAAGAGGCUCCUGCCCCAGCAGACUUGAAUGUCUUUCAGUGAUGCCCUCCACCUUGUAGGACCUGUCCUGGUCUUCCCCACCUCUACCCCUCGCCCCAGCCCUGCCACCACAUACACUCACACACCCCACUGGCAAGGGGAGACCCCUGCCAUCGGGAGUGUGGGAACGCAUGCAUGUACUCACCAUUGACAGCGACUCCAUCCCCGCCAGGCCUGGGACAGCCAGCACUGCCUAGAACCCCAAGAGGCCCGAGGAUGGGGCUGCGGCGGGAGGGGAACCAGAGGGAAAUGAGGACCCAGAGCUCCCCGCCUAUCCCUGGUAUAUCUCACACAGCAGUACUGUAUCCUCAGUCCCUUGAGCCCCUGGGCGUCGGAGCAACUCUUCCCAACAUUCAGGCCCUGUCUCCGUGUCUCGCUGUGAUAGAUCAAUAAAUAUUUUAUUUUUUGUCCUGGAUACUUGGGG
ensembl:lncRNA